UAAAUACAGACACCCUAGUCUUUAGUGUCCUCUUUUUCGCCUCAGUAGUGGAUGAUAUAGUUGAGGAGUCUAAUUAUUUAUUAAAGUCGUAUAAUAAAAUGUUUAACACUGGAAUUUUACCUUUGCAUACUUUAAGACCACCUUGAUGCCAAAAAAAUCCGAGUCCUGCACUACUCAGAGGUUUGGAGGAGAAUGAAGAUGUGGCCUACACGUGGAUUGAAUGAAUCUUGAAGAAGCACCAGCUUGAAUAUCAGGGAACCUGUCUGGAUUGGACCUGAUCGAGAGCUGAUGAAUCCCAAACGAGGUGGAGGAGUAUGAAGAUUUGAAUGUGAUGGAAAAAGGACCUGGGAGAAAGAAGGAUCAGUCAUGUGACCAUUAUUGCUUAUUUUAUGUAUGAAAACUAUACAAAUAAAACAAACAAAAAAGCCUUUA